rnacentral:rRNA from 1 species
GACGAACGCUGGCGGCGUGCUUAACACAUGCAAGUCGAACGGAAAGGCCCUGCUUUUGUGGGGUGCUCGAGUGGCGAACGGGUGAGUAACACGUGAGUAACCUGCCCUUGACUUUGGGAUAACUUCAGGAAACUGGGGCUAAUACCGGAUAGGAGCUCCUGCUGCAUGGUGGGGGUUGGAAAGUUUCGGCGGUUGGGGAUGGACUCGCGGCUUAUCAGCUUGUUGGUGGGGUAGUGGCUUACCAAGGCUUUGACGGGUAGCCGGCCUGAGAGGGUGACCGGCCACAUUGGGACUGAGAUACGGCCCAGACUCCUACGGGAGGCAGCAGUGGGGAAUAUUGCACAAUGGGCGGAAGCCUGAUGCAGAAACGCCGCGUGCGGGAUGACGGCUUUCGGGUUGUAAACCGCUUUCGCCUGUGACGAAGCGUGAGUGACGGUAAUGGGUAAAGAAGCACCGGCUAACUACGUG